UACGUAGGGGGCUAGCGUUGUUCGGAAUUACUGGGCGUAAAGGGCUCGUAGGUGGCCAACUAAGUCAGACGUGAAAUCCCUCGGCUUAACCGGGGAACUGCGUCUGAUACUGGAUGGCUUGAGAUUGGGAGAGGGAUGCGGAAUUCCAGGUGUAGCGGUGAAAUGCGUAGAUAUCUGGAGGAACACCGGUGGCGAAGGCGGCAUCCUGGACCGACACUGACACUGAGGAGCGAAAGCCAGGGGAGCAAACGGG
rnacentral:rRNA from 1 species